UCUCUCAUGGAUACUAAUUGGGCUCAUUACUGAUGAGCCAGCACGGGAACUCCCAGGAGUUUUUCUUCACCUGCCCUUCCGGCCAUUGCACGGUGGUCCGUCCCUCCCCAGUGGGUGAGCGUUGGGUGAUGUGGUGACCACAUCUGACCUUCUUGGAGACCGACCAGGCUGAGGAAGGCAUGUGACCCAGGUCAGAGGGGGGCACGUGACCCGGGUCAGAGGAGGGCUUGAGCAUCAUUCGCUGGAGGUCGAUGGCAGGAGGACUAAAGGUGAGCAAAACCUCCCUGCGGGAUGGGGAGUUUUUAAGGAGAAAUGCUUCCCUGAGCUGACUGGGGGGGAUCUCAGCCUGGUGCGACAGGACCAGGAUUGCCUGUGGCCUCCUGAAGGUGGAAGACCCUGGGGGAGGGAGUCAGGCCUGGAACCCGAGGGCUGAGGGGGACAUGGGGCACUCGGGGCGGGGGCUGGUCACAGCGAGGUCCCUCUUUCUCCUUCUUGGAGUUGGUGCCUAUCUUCGUCUGCUCGGGCAGCCGCGAGGGCCACGGAGACUGGGAGGCUUAAACAGCCGGUCUUCACGUCUCUCAGCUCUGGAGGCUUGAAGGCUAAAAGAAAUGUUCAGCCAGUUUGGACUGGGGAAGAGCUGUCCUCUGGGCUUGCAGACAGCCGCUCCUCAGAGCCUGUGGCGGUGAGGGGGGCGGCGGUGCAAGAAGAGUGAGGAGGGAGGUUGGGUCCUGUGGGGUGAGAGCCUCACCCUGAGGGCCUCUCUGCCCUCUAACUGCACCCCUAAAGGCCUGAUUUGCAAAGGCAGUCACAUCAGGGAACAGGGCCGCCACCUGGUUUGGGAGAGCCUCGGUUCAGUCCACAGCUGUCCUGGUCCCUCGCUUCCUGCUCGCCUUUCCUUCCUGGCCUCACGUCCCGCAGGGACACAAGGGCUGCAUUUCUGCGCAGACCUCAGCCCGGAAGCACCAUCCUUGUUGCGCCAAGCCAGUAGGGUGGCUGCGGCCUAGUCGUUGGCUUCAAAGCCAGGGCUGGCAUCUCCUUCCCGCCCUCACUGAACGGCCCCUCCUGGACCUCCCUCAGCCUUCCCGUGGGAGUAAGAAGGGCCACAGGGAGGCCAGGCAGCCCAGGCCAGCAGAGGCCAGGAGCCGGACUUCAAACCCAGUUCAGCCCUAACCAGCCAGAUGGCCCCAGACAAGCCUUUACGUCUCCUUGGGCCUCAGGUGUCGCCUCUACAACAGAGGCCACAUUCGAAACCCUGCCCCCACCCCAACCCCACCCCGGACACAGCUGUUGCAGGUAACUGGGGAAAGCCCUGGAAAGAGGCAAAAACAGGAACAGGUGUAACGGGUAAAUGUGAGCGUGACUGCAGUUAAGAAGCCGUAAGGUUCGGGCCACGAAGAAGAUGCCUCUGCCUGGGCCGUGGCUGUAGAGUCAAGAAACUUCAGGUUUGGGCCAUGACGAAGAUGCCUCUGCCUGGACCCAGGCUCCCCGGCCAGCUGCGGGCAAAGGGACUGCGUCUUGGGGCCUGGUCAGGACUCGCCCCGUGGGCACUGGCUCUCUGCUGUGAACGUGGCGUGAGGUUCUCCGGCUCCUUUUGGCUGCUUGAGGCAUAUGGUUCCAGAGAAAGAGAGACCAAUUCCCUCAGGACCCAGGGGCCUGUCAUCCCUCUGGAGACAAAGGCCUGCCUGCUCUGUUUUUCAAACGUCAGGACGUCCCCUCAUGAAGGUGGCCCGGCAGGCCUGGCCCCUGCAUUUGUCCACUAGACAGAGACGGUGGCCUGUCCUCCCCAUGUCCAGGACUCUGAAGGGAAACACCGUCAAAGAGAAAGGAGAAAACCCCACGUUCUUUCCAGAGGAUCUCCUGCUUCAAGCCCUUCCGAAUUUGUCCAGUUAAAGGGACCCUACCCGAGAUCUGAAGUUCCCUUCUGUGCUCAGAUUCUCUUGGCUAAUUUUUUUCUUGCAUCAAAUGAUUUAGGGCUUCCUUUGCUUUCCAGCAGGUAAUCUGACCUCUCUACAUUAUAGGAAGGAGCGAAGGCAGGCUAAUGUAUUCACUCCAGCAGAGGCCAGUUGAAUGAUAGCAUCAGUUUGCAAUGCCAUUUGGAUUUUUUAAAAGAAAGGUGUUGUUCUGGAGUUGCCCUCAUUCUCUCCAAAUCUGAUUUCCCUGAGGGGGUUUCUGUUGCAUUGUUAGCCAAACAACAUGCAAAUAUAUUGAUACCUGGGAAUUUGGACUGUGGCAAGAACAGGAAGUUGCAAUUGCCAAGGUAUGAAGAGGCUAAAAACGGAGCCCAAGCAUGUAUGAGUUUCAUACACUAGAGGCCAAGAUCUUCAAAAUAUGAUUGAUGCUUAGAGAUCACCAAGUCCUUAUUAGGUGUUGGGUGUUGGUGUCUCUCUGCUGAUUGGUUUCUCUGAUUUCAUUUCGGGGUGGCAGUUCAGUACUUUGGGGGGCAAGGAAGUAGUCAGCUCUCCAGAUCUAGCAAAUAGUGUCUUCACGCGGACGGAACACUCCAUCAUGGGAUAGUCAUCAAGAGACAGAUCUCGAUUCUUAUCUGACUUGCGUGGAAACUUGGAUCCAGAGUAACCAUUAUUUUCAACAGAAUGGAGACCAGGCUCUUCUGUGUUCCUAAUUAUGUUUAAAAUAAAGUGCAACGUUUUUUCUGCUUU